GGGCGCCACCUGCUGGUGGACUGAGGCUGCUGCUACUCCUGGUCCCGGUCAGGUCCGCCUCAAAUAAGGAUCAGGAGGGAAUUUGUAACAGCAUCUAUGAUGGGAUUCUUACUAUUUUGGUUUUGGUUGAGGCAUGAAUACAAUGGAUGCUAAACUCCAAAGGGGGCACUGUGCAGAAAUUUCAAAGUAGCAUCAACAACAGGGCAAACAACCCUUAAAAUCCUUAACCAUUAAAGGAAAAGGCAAAGAGAAUUUUUAGAGCAAGAAGCUGUUAAAUCCCAUCUCUCCCAGGGCUGGGGGGAGGGGAUCUGUGGCGGCUCCUUGCGCCAAGCCUAGACAGAGACUGUAAGGAGAAUACUUGGAGAGCGUGGUAAGUGCUUCGUGAAUACAGAGACGCCAGACUGGGCUCUUCUGUAGAAGAUCUAACAGGUUUGCUUCUUUCCCUCCUUCCACACUUAGCUCAAGCGUCGCCAACUUCUCCAGAGCACUCUCCACGGAUGCCCCAGGCUGGCUCGGUGCCCUCGCUCUUGGCUUUCCCGGCACCCUGUGAACACCCACAACAUGGCUUUAACACACUGUGUUGAAAUGAUCCAUUCGCCAUGUGCCUCCCUCUACUAACCUGUGAGGUUCUCAGCGGCAUGGGACUGUGGAUCAGAAUGUUGUCCUUCCCUCCUUCGACCAGUGUUUGUGGAGAUUCUGCCGUGUGCCAGACUGGAGUCAAACUUUGAUCUCAUUACUCCUCAAGGACCUUGGGUCGGACCUAGCAUUAAAACAGAGUCUACUCUGAGUAGGCCCCAGUCUUCUGAUGAUGACUUGGAGUCUGCUUCAGGAAGAGUGCACUGCUCACGCAGACUUUGAGCAUUCGGCCCCUGUGACAGUUAGUCCUCCGGCACGGUGCUUUUGUUCCUCGGUCUCACUAUGUGGCUCAUGGGUCCCUCCCGGGACAACAGAUCUGCUCUUACUGGGCUGUCUAAGUUCUGAAUCUGCAAGGCUGAAGUCCAGACCAGCCCAUGGACAAUUCACAAAGGCAAUGAAGUUCACAAGUCAAGGUGUCCUAGUAGAUGGACUGCUGAUCUUGUUCUUCAAGAAAACUUUUUGACUUGUUGGGAACUUGAAGAAGGCGAGAGCACAGCACGCAUAUGAAACAGAAGGAGGUUUUCUGAGCGGUGGUGUCUCCAAAGCAGUGCAAGGGACAGAAGAGGCCAGCUCAGGACAGAGGCCCGGGAGGCUGCAGCCAGUGGGUGCAGGAGGAACGGGCCCGGGUGGAGGCCGAGAGGGAGUGGAGAACGCCGGU